UACGGAGGGUGCGAGCGUUGUCCGGAAUUAUUGGGCGUAAAGGGCUCGUAGGCGGUUUGUCGCGUCGGGAGUGAAAACUCAGGGCUUAACCCUGAGCCUGCUUCCGAUACGGGCAGACUAGAGGUAUGCAGGGGAGAACGGAAUUCCUGGUGUAGCGGUGAAAUGCGCAGAUAUCAGGAGGAACACCGGUGGCGAAGGCGGUUCUCUGGGCAUUACCUGACGCUGAGGAGCGAAAGCGUGGGGAGCGAACAGG
rnacentral:rRNA from 1 species